UACGGAGGGGGUUAGCGUUGUUCGGAAUGACUGGGCGUAAAGCGCGCGUAGGCGGAUCUUUAAGUCAGGGGUGAAAUCCCGGGGCUCAACCCCGGAACUGCCCUUGAUACUGGGGAUCUUGAGUUCGAGAGAGGUUGGUGGAACUGCGAGUGUAGAGGUGAAAUUCGUAGAUAUUCGCAAGAACACCAGUGGCGAAGGCGGCCAACUGGCUCGACACUGACGCUGAGGCGCGAAAGCGUGGGGAGCAAACAGG
rnacentral:rRNA from 1 species